GACGAACGCUGGCGGCGUGCUUAACACAUGCAAGUCGAACGGAAAGGCCCUGCUUUUGUUGGGUGCUCGAGUGGCGAACGGGUGAGUAACACGUGAGUAACCUGCCCUUGACUUUGGGAUAACUUCAGGAAACUGGGGCUAAUACCGGAUAGGAGCUCCUGCUGCAUGGUGGUGGUUGGAAAGUUUCGGCGGUUGGGGAUGGACUCGCGGCUUAUCAGCUUGUUGGUGGGGUAGUGGCUUACCAAGGCUUUGACGGGUAGCCGGCCUGAGAGGGUGACCGGGCACAUUGGGACUGAGAGACGGCCCAGAAUCCUACGGGAGGCAGCAGUGGGGAAUAUUGCACAAUGGGCGGAAGCCUGAUGCAGCAGCGCCGCGUGCGGGAUGACGGCCUUCGGGUUGUAAACCGCUUUCGCCGGUGACGAAGCGUGAGUGACGGUAAUGGGUAAAGAAGCACCGGCUAACUACGUG
rnacentral:rRNA from 1 species